rnacentral:rRNA from 1 species
ACAUCCAGAGAAUUUAGCAGAGAUGCUUUAGUGCCUUCGGGAACUCUGAGACAGGUGCUGCAUGGCUGUCGUCAGCUCGUGUUGUGAAAUGUUGGGUUAAGUCCCGNAACGAGCGCAACCCUUAUCCUUUGUUGCCAGCACGUAAUGGUGGGAACUCAAAGGAGACUGCCGGUGAUAAACCGGAGGAAGGUGGGGAUGACGUCAAGUCAUCAUGGCCCUUACGAGUAGGGCUACACACGUGCUACAAUGGCGCAUACAAAGAGAAGCGACCUCGCGAGAGCAAGCGGACCUCAUAAAGUGCGUCGUAGUCCGGAUUGGAGUCUGCAACUCGACUCCAUGAAGUCGGAAUCGCUAGUAAUCGUAAAUCAGAAUGUUACGGUGAAUACGUUCCCGGGCCUUGUACACACCGCCCGUCACACUAUGGGAGUGGGUUGCAAAAGAAGUAGAUAGCUUAACCUUCGGGAGGGCGUUUACCACUUUGUGAUUCAUGACUGGGGUGAAGUCGUAACAAGGUAAGCGUAGUGCU